UUCAUCUCUUUUUCUGCUCAGUGUCUUUCACUAACACAGACACUUACAUUUGGAGUAAAAGCAGCUUAUCCAACUCAACUGACACUGAUAGUCCAUUUCAGUGCUGUGUUGUGGGUUUAAGGACAUAGCAAAAAUUCUGAUUCACAUGCUCGCAAUGUCACUGAUGUUGGAGUAAUGGAUAUUUCCUGUAAAAACAGUCUUACCUAGGUAACUUAGCUGGGGCUGAUCUAGCACCAGCCUUUCUUCAUGAAAUAUGCAGUUAACAGAUGUCUCAUCUUGAUCAGCCACCUUAAGGACUCUCUGUGUUUCUGAUGGAUCUCAUCUUGCACAUCUUGCUUCAAAACCCCAGUGAGCACAGACGGACUUCCUGCUUCCUCCAUCGAGCUCUCCCUCUCGGUCAUGUGACCGUCUUAAAGGGACAGUAACUCCUCAGCGUGCUCGAGAUUUAAACAUCAGUGUGCGUGGUGAAGCUUCACUUUAAUCAGCGUGCACAUGACAACAAAGAACCUGAUUUGACUUGUUGGGCUUCAGGUUCAGAGAGGAAAACAGCAGAAAGGCAGAGUACUUCAAAGGGCAUGAGUGAUCACAGAGCUGGACCAGAUGUCAGCGGACUGCUGCUGCUGUCCGGAUGGGAAACAUGUAGCCACCAGAGCUGAUAAGUUAAAUGUUACUGUGUAACAGCUCAAAUGUCUCCUACCACAAUUACGGUGUUGUAAAAGUAAAACAUUUGCAAUCACCUUUUUCAUUUUCAGAACAGUUAUUCCUGGUAUGGAAAGAUAUAUUUGAGAGAUGGCAUGUCGUUACUCGCCUUACAGCAUCACAAACUCCAAGACACCCACCUCUUCACAGAACGAGCCCUGGGUGUGUGGGGAAACGUUUUCAUGUGAGAACCUCUCCUUCCCUUCAAAAUAAGUCUCUCGACAGCCACAAAACCGUAACCUGACUUCCUGAGUGCGCACAGUCACAAACAACAAUGCGAGGAUUCAGUGUUAUGAAAUGAUUUCACAGAGGAAAUGAAACUAAUGUUUAAGAGCCACACGCUGCGUUUAAUAGGAAGACAUUAUGUCAUGAUUGGUUGUUUUGAUCGCCAGGA